rnacentral:rRNA from 1 species
CUAAAAUCGAUAACCCACGAUCAACCUCACCCGCCUUUGCAACAACAGCCUAUAUACCUCCGUCGCCAGCCCGCCUGAAAACAGAAAAAUAGCGAGUACAACAACUAAUCAUUAAUACGACAGGUCACGGUGUAGCUUAUACGCGGGGCAGAGAUGGGCUACAUUUCUUAAUAUAAGAUAUACCUACCCCGCCAUGAAAUCUGCGGAACAAGGUGGAUUUAGCAGUAAGCUAGGCAAGAAAAGCCUAUCUGAAACGCGCUCUGAA